rnacentral:tRNA from 1 species
UGCGGGAUAGAGGAGUCGGUCGUCCUCGCAGGCCUCAUAAGCCUGAGAUCGCGGGUUCGAAUCCCGCUCCCGCUA